rnacentral:rRNA from 1 species
UACGAAGGGGGCUAGCGUUGCUCGGAAUCACUGGGCGUAAAGCGCACGUAGGCGGAUCUUUAAGUCAGGGGUGAAAUCCUGGAGCUCAACUCCAGAACUGCCUUUGAUACUGGGGGAUCUCGAGUCCGGGAGAGGUGAGUGGGAACUCCGAGUGUAGAGGUGAAAUUCGUAGAUAUUCGGAAGAACACCAGUGGCGAAGGCGGCUUACUGGUCCGGUUCUGACGCUGAGGCGCGAAAGCGUGGGGAGCAAACAGGG